rnacentral:lncRNA from 1 species
UCAACAAGACGAAGUUUGUACAAUGUUUUACUUUUAGUCUUUUUUUAUUUUUGUUUUUAUUUUCUUAAUAAUCAUAGUGCUACAAAGGUAUUUUAUGUUUGUGUAUGCGCAACUCAUGACCAGUGUUGACACUGUUUGAUCCAGAAAUUGAAAGAACUGCAUGUACUAAUAUGAGAGCAGUCAGGGAAUAAAAUAUAGCUCAACGGAUCUUAGUUGAAGAUCAACCACUAAUUUCUUCUGACUCUGAAGAAGAAACCAUCAUGGCAGUUGUACCACCCCAAACUAUCGGGGAUUAAUGUAAAAGAACCAAUGAAGGACAUAUUUCGA